GCAAGUCGAGCGGAACGAUGCCUAGCUUGCUAGGAGGCGUCGAGCGGCGGACGGGUGAGUAAUGCAUAGGAAUCUGCCCGGUAGUGGGGGAUAACCUGGGGAAACCCAGGCUAAUACCGCAUACGCCCUACGGGGGAAAGCAGGGGAUCUUCGGACCUUGCGCUAUCGGAUGAGCCUAUGUCGGAUUAGCUAGUUGGUGAGGUAACGGCUCACCAAGGCUGCGAUCCGUAGCUGGUCUGAGAGGAUGAUCAGCCACAUCGGGACUGAGACACGGCCCGAACUCCUACGGGAGGCAGCAGUGGGGAAUAUUGGACAAUGGGCGAAAGCCUGAUCCAGCCAUGCCGCGUGUGUGAAGAAGGCCUUCGGGUUGUAAAGCACUUUCAGUGAGGAAGAAAGCCUUGAGGUUAAUACCCUCGAGGGAGGACAUCACUCACAGAAGAAGCACCGGCUAACUCCGUGCCAGCAGCCGCGGUAAUACGGAGGGUGCGAGCGUUAAUCGGAAUUACUGGGCGUAAAGCGCGCGUAGGCGGCUUGAUAAGCCGGUUGUGAAAGCCCCGGGCUCAACCUGGGAACGGCAUCCGGAACUGUCAGGCUAGAGUGCAGGAGAGGAAGGUAGAAUUCCCGGUGUAGCGGUGAAAUGCGUACAGAUCGGGAGGAAUACCAGUGGCGAAGGCGGCCUUCUGGACUGACACUGACGCUGAGGUGCGAAAGCGUGGGUAGCAAACAGGAUUACAUACCCUGGUAGUCCACGCCGUAUACGAUGUCGACUAGCC
rnacentral:rRNA from 1 species